CCUUGGCUGAUCGCGCCUGCGCAGUGGGGAGCAGCUCGCUCCUGGGCUUUGGGCUGGCUGCAGUCUGUCUGAGGGCGGCCGAAGCGGCUGGCUCAUUUAAGAUGAGGCUUCUGCUGCUUCUCCUAGUGGCGGCGUCUGCGAUGGUCCGGAGCGAGGCCUCGGCCAAUCUGGGCGGCGUGCCCAGCAAGAGAUUAAAGAUGCAGUACGCCACGGGGCCGCUGCUCAAGUUCCAGAUUUGUGUUUCCUGAGGUUAUAGGCGGGUGUUUGAGGAGUACAUGCGGGUUAUUAGCCAGCGGUACCCAGACAUCCGCAUUGAAGGAGAGAAUUACCUCCCUCAACCAAUAUAUAGACACAUAGCAUCUUUCCUGUCAGUCUUCAAACUAGUAUUAAUAGGCUUAAUAAUUGUUGGCAAGGAUCCUUUUGCUUUCUUUGGCAUGCAAGCUCCUAGCAUCUGGCAGUGGGGCCAAGAAAAUAAGGUUUAUGCAUGUAUGAUGGUUUUCUUCUUGAGCAACAUGAUUGAGAACCAGUGUAUGUCAACAGGUGCAUUUGAGAUAACUUUAAAUGACGGAGUCUCGCUGUGUCACCCAGGCUGGAGUGCCGUGGCGCGAUCUCGAUUCACUGCAAGCUCCGCCUCCCAGAUGUACCUGUGUGGUCUAAGCUGGAAUCUGGUCACCUUCCAUCCAUGCAACAACUUGUUCAAAUUCUUGACAAUGAAAUGAAGCUCAAUGUGCAUAUGGAUUCAAUCCCACACCAUCGAUCAUAGCACCACCUAUCAGCACUGAAAACUCUUUUGCAUUAAGGGAUCAUUUCAAGAGCAGCGUGACUGACAUUAUGAAGGCCUGUACUGAAGACAGCAAGCUGUUAGUACAGACCAGAUGCUUUCUUGGCAGGCUCGUUGUACCUCUUGGAAAACCUCAAUGCAAGAUAGUGUUUCAGUGCUGGCAUAUUUUGGAAUUCUGCACAUUCAUGGAGUGCAAUAAUACUGUAUAGCUUUCCCCACCUCCCGCAAAAUCACCCAGUUAAUGUGUGUGUGUUUUUUUUUUUUAAGGUAAACAUUACUACUUGUAACUUUUUUUCUUAGUCAUAUUUGAAAAAGUAGAAAAUUGAGUUACAAUUUGAUUUUUUUUCCAAAGAUGUCUGUUAAAUCUGUUGUGCUUUUAUAUGAAUAUUUGUUUUUUAUAGUUUAAAAUUGAUCCUUUGGGAAUCCAGUUGAAGUUCCCAAAUACUUUAUAAGAGUUUAUCAGACAUCUCUAAUUUGGCCAUGUCCAGUUUAUACAGUUUACAAAAUAUAGCAGAUGCAAGAUUAUGGGGGAAAUCCUAUAUUCAGAGUACUCUACAAAUUUUUGUGUAUGUGUGUAUGUGCGUGUGAUUACCAGAGAACUACUAAAAAAACCAACUGCUUUUUAAAUCCUGUUGUGUAGUUAAAGUGUCAUGCCUUGACCAAUCUAAUGAAUUGAUUAAUUAACUGGGCCUUUAUACUUAACUAAAUAAAAAACUAAGCAGAUAUGAGUUAAAUUUAAAAGUUUCAAUUUAUUGCUCAAUGUACCUGUUAACAUUAUAUUUAACAAUUGCUUAAAUUUUUGUUUUUGAUUUAUGGAUAAUUUCUUAAGAGUACACACUUUAGAUACACAAAUAAUCGUUCAUUUACCAUCUUUAGGAUCAUUGAAACUCAUCUCACUAAAGAAAGUUCACUUGAACCUCUUUAUAGCAUUGAUACUAGGUGAACAGAAAUUACCUAAUAAUUUGUCUAACAUCGUAUAUCAGAAUUUUAUUGUAUAUGAUGAACAAAACUUAAAAUUUUUUAAAUUUAAUUUUUAAAUACUGUUUCAGAGUUCUAAAAAGGCAGUUUUUAAAAAAACUUAAGUUGAUAAAAACUGUAAGAAUAAUUUAGCAGAAAUAGAACCAGAAUGUAGAAGAGUAGUCAUGUAACAGCAGUAAUAACAUACUUCAGCUUCCAUAUAGGAAUAGAAGUGGUAGAGCCAAAAGUGAUUUAGGAAAAAGUUAUAAGGUACAGGUUGAGUAUCCCUUUUCCAAAAAUGCUUGGGACAAGAAGUAUUUCAGAUUUCAUAAUUUUUUUCAAAGUUUGGAAUAUUUGCAUUAUACUUACCAGUUGGGCAUCCCAAAUCUGAAAUCUGAAAUGUUCCAUGAGCAUUUCCUUUGAGUGUCAUGUUGGCACUCAAAAAGGUUCAACAUUGAGUCCACUUAACACUUAGGUGUUAGAAGACCUAACUUUCUGUAACAAUUAACCUUAUACUUUGUUUGUCAUCGAAUAUUUGUUGAAUGCAUGUCAGGUAAUGGUCUUGAUUGUGAUAGCUUCAAGGUGGAACAUACUGUAAUCUCCAGAUGCUAGGAAGUUAGUCUAAUAAUUCACUGCAGAAAAUUGAUUAAGUGGCUGUCCUUUUAAUUAAGAGUGUGGAGUCAUAAACUUAAGUUCUUCAUAUAGUGACAGGAGUCCUUAGAGAUCGUUAUUCAAGUUCCUUAGAAAUUGUUAUUUAGGUAUAAUAUCAUCUUGUCUUUGACUAGAGCUUGAAACCUUGUUAUCUGAUUGUGUACCACUCCAAAUUCCCUGCCUUCUGCAAGUUGAAUGUCUUGCUGAAUGUGUCUAGGGGUUCAUCUUCAGUAAUCGACAUUCCACUAGUGCCAUAGUUAACUUCGUGACAUGUAAUCAUUCAAAACUUGAGCCUUGGAUGUUCCUGUGGACCUGACAGUUAAAAAUAUAAAGAACCUAGGAUUCAAUUCCAACUUUCUCUGUUUGCCUUGGGUUGAAUAACUUAUCUUUUGGAGAACAGCUUUAAGUGGCUUAGACACUGAUAAAAUUCAGCUGUGUUGUUGACGCUCAUCUCUUUUGUCUUAUGCUUAGCCAUAUUUAAAUCUUGAAUUUAAUAGAGUCUAGUGAAAAAAAUGAGUGGGAAGAAUGAAUAUAAAAGUAAUAAUAUAAGGAAAAAGGGAAAGUAAACUAUUUAGAAUGUAGUUUUGUUAUAUUCCCAGCAUUUCAAUAUUUAUUAGUUACUUGUAAAUUACUGUGGCUGUGUAGUUUAUAAAUGUCUGUGCACUAUAUUAAUUAGAAGACCAUAGAACAUGCCAGCAGGUUGGCUAAUGCUAUGGGGGUUUUUACCACAGUUGCCAUUGUGGAAGAAAUUAUUUGGUACAUUAAUAAAAAAAGUUGGUAAAACAUGGUUUUAUACCUCAGUGUAUAAGAUGUGCAAGACAAAUAUGCUUAUUUCCUUUUCUAGAAUAUAAGUGAUAUUAUUUGCUUAUGACACUAACACUAUUAAUGACAGGAGUCAAUCAGCCUUUACAGCUAUCAAAAUAUAAUGAGAUCCCAAUGAUGAUUCUUUUUUACUUUGAAUGUUAAUUAGUUUGGGACUUUGAUUGGCUGGCAAACAUUUUAUCAUUGUCAGAAUUUAAUUUAGAUUUCAAAAAUAGCUUACAGGAUUUUAAACAUGGUGUGGUAUUCUAAAGCCUUUUUUUAAAAAAAGAGAUCUUUUUGAGAGAAUCAAAUGAGGAUUGUAAAGUUUGGGGACUUACCUCUGUAGCAUUGUGAAAAUAAACUUUGAUUAAGCUGA